AGCCUACAUCUUUUUGAUCUGGAGUUAGACUAGCAAUGUCUUUGCCAGAUAUAGAUUAAAAUGUGUAUCGCUGGAGGGCAGAGGCUACCGCUGGUGCGUUACAUGCUUGUUCAGCCUUUGCAAUACAUAGGCCUACUGCAUAGUUACUUUGCUUACCCGACGGUUGGUCCUCAACUCUACUUUACUAGUACUAUUACUUCUACUACUGCUACGACUACUUCUACUUUACUAAUGACUUUUAUUUAUCUCAUCUCUGCUGGAUAUUUUUCCCUCCCUCUUUCUCCAUGUAUUAUUUACUGCUCACAAAGAAGCUAUAUGUCAUGCUAUGUUGACAUUUUAUGCACAAUUGUUUAAUUGGACAAGCAAGUCCGAUCGUCCAAACAGUUUUUAACAUUUUCAGUCACUGAAUACAGUGUAUUCAUUGUAUUUAUUGUCCUCUGUAUCGUCCACAUAUCGAUCAUGUUAUACUGUUUUACAGUGGUGGUGGUGGUUCAUAAGUUGCCAGCUCUGAGUAUCUUGAUCUCUGAGACUGAAGGCAGCCAGGUUGUUUCCUUCGGCUGCUUUGCCGCAGAUUUUUCACCAAAGGAUUAUACGAUCACAUGGUUGAGAAACGGCAAGAAAAUCGAUCCAUCUGAAAGCAGCACUUCUUCUGAGGGUCAAAAUAACGAGACUGCGACUUUCUACAAUGCAGCAAGCUAUAUCCAGGUGAAGGAAAAUCACUGGAAGGAUGAUGGAACUAAUAUCACAUGUAGGUUUGCAAGUAGUAAAGAGCAAGUGGAUGCUCAUCUGACCUAUGGCGGGGGAUGUGUCGAACCAACGUCAACAAAAUUGGAAAUCGAUAUCUUGCCAAUCUCACUUGAGACGAUGUAUUUGGAAAAUAAUGCUGACCUUGUUUGCAAGGUCCACAGUAGUGAUCCCGUGGAAGUUAAAUGGUUUAAUGAAAGUGGUGAGGUGUUAUCCACUCCGAAGAGUCCAAGUUCAAAUACGUACAUUGCCACAGCCAGGAUAACGUACGAUGAAUGGAGCAAAGGAAUGAGUUGGUACUGUGAGGCUUCGAUUAAAGAUUCAAUAGAGGUUCCAACGAGAAAAGACUUUGUGAAGAAUAAUGGACGAAAUAGAGUUCCUCCAUCCGUUUAUCUGCUCCCUCCAGUAGAUGAUUUAAGUUGCACGAACAUGACCCUGACUUGCUUUGUGAAAGACUUCUACCCCGCGGACAUUUUGGUGCAUUGGCUGGUUGAUAAUUUGACAAUAGAUGGAAGUGCUCUUUAUUCACACAAAACAACAAACGUUAUUGAAAACGGUGACUUGUUUUCCACUUAUGGCCAACUUACCUUUAGCUCUGAUGGUUGGAAAGACGGCAGAGUGUUUAGAUGCGAAGUCUACCACAUGUCUAUGGAUUCCAAAAACCAACCCAUUGUCAAGUUAAUUACUGAAAAGUCAUCAGGCAAUGUUAACAUUAUCAACAUGAACCUGGGUCCUUCUACGUGCUUGCCCCAGUAGAUGUUGUUUUUCUGUGUGUGAUGUAAUGCUGCAUGUUUGUUUUUUUAAAAUGCUGAUUCAAAAUCAAAAUAAUAAAAAAAAACAUUGAACUUUAAA